rnacentral:sRNA from 1 species
UAACUUGUCCGACCACUUCUUUCCUUACACUGUGCGCAUACGUCUUUUCUACAUUUUAACGCAUUAGAAUAAGAAUGUAACCGUCUCUUAAUUGAGCUUAAAUAAAAAUAAAACUUUCAGCAACGGAUCUCUUGUUUCUCGCAUCAAUGAAUAACGCUCCGAAUUGCGAUAAGCAAUGCGAAUUGCAAAAUUCAAUGAAUCAUCCAAACUUUGAACGCACCUUGAACUCUUUGACAUUCCUAGCAGUAUGUGUGUUUGAGUGUCAUGAGACUCUCAACCCCCCUAUUUUGCAAUGACACGCCUGUGGCCUUGGAUUAUGGUUGUUGUCGGCGUAAUUGCCGGCUCAACUGAAAUACGCCAACAACCCCUUUGAAAUAUACGGUUUGACUCGGCGUAUUAAUUAUUUCUCUGAGGACGACAUCUUCCAAAGAAAGCGGCGCUUCUAAUGCGCUUUUAAAGCAUCCCUUCUU